rnacentral:rRNA from 1 species
UACGAGGGGGCAAGUGUUGUUCGGAAUCACUGGGCGUAAAGCGCACGUAGGCGGCUUCUUAAGUCAGGGGUGAAAUCCUGGAGCUCAACUCCAGAACUGCCUUUGAUACUGAGAGUCUCGAGUCCGGGAGAGGUGAGUGGAACUGCGAGUGUAGAGGUGAAAUUCGUAGAUAUUCGCAAGAACACCAGUGGCGAAGGCGGCUCACUGGCCCGGUACUGACGCUGAGGUGCGAAAGCGUGGGGAGCAACAGG